rnacentral:rRNA from 1 species
CCUACGGGAGGCAGCAGUGGGGAAUAUUGGGCAAUGGAGGCAACUCUGACCCAGCAAUGCCGCGUGAAUGAAGAAGGUCUUCGGAUUGUAAAGUUCUUUAAUCAGGGACGAAGAAGAUGACGGUACCUGAGGAAUAAGCCACGGCAAACUAUGUGCCAGCAGCCGCGGUAAUACGGAGGGUGCGAGCGUUAAUCGGAAUUACUGGGCGUAAAGCGCUCGUAGGCGGUAUGUCAAGUCAAGGGUGAAAUCCCCGCGCUCAACGUGGGAACUGCCUUUGAAACUGGCAAACUGGAGUGUGUGAGAGGAUAGUGGAAUUCCAGGUGUAGGAGUGAAAUCCGUAGAUAUCUGGAGGAACAUCAGUGGCGAAGGCGACUAUCUGGCACAUAACUGACGCUGAGGAGCGAAAGCGUGGGUAGCAAACAGGAUUAGAUACCCUUGUAGUC